rnacentral:rRNA from 1 species
AAAGGUCGUGCCUGCUCACUGAUUUAUUAAAGAGCCGCGGUAUUUUGACCGUGCAAAGGUAGCAUAAUCAUUAGUAUAUUAAUUGUAUACUGGAAUGAAAGGUUUGACGAGAAAUAUACUGUCUCUAUUAUAUUUUUAUAAUUUUACUUUCUAGUUAAAAGGCUGGGAUUUUUUUUUUGGACGAUAAGACCCUAUAGAGUUUGAUUUUAAAUAUUUUAUUAUUUUGGGUUAAGUUGUUAAUAAUUAAUUUUAUUGUUAGUUUUGUUGGGGUGAUGUGAAUAAUAAUUAAACUAUUCAUUAUUUUUAUCAUUGAUUUAUGUUUUUUAUGAUCUUAUAUUAUUGAUAUAAAGAUAAAAUUACCUUAGGGAUAACAGCGCAAUUAUCUUUGAGAGUUCUUAUUGACAAGAUAGAUUGUGACCUCGAUGUUGGAUUAAGAUUAUUUUUUAGGUGAAGGUGCUUAAUUUAGUUGGUCUGUUCGACCAUUAAAAUCUU